UUGAUGCUGCAGCCCUGGGCAGCGCUGGGCUCUCCAGCUGCUGCCUGGGCUCCCUGCUGGUCUCUCUCAUUUCAGAUCCUGAGGUGCUGGAGGAGCUGCUGACCUAUGAUGACCUUUUCCUGGACUAUUUCAAUGCCUUCCUGGCUCUGCCUACCUUUCCUCUGCGACUGAGCUACAGCCGGCUCAGGGGGCAGCUGCAGGAGCUGGAUGGCUUCCUGCGGGAGUCUCCCUGCCAGCGGGGAGUGCAGCCAAGCUGGCCUGGCUACGGAGCCACGGAUGAAGAGCGAGAGAGGAUCCUGGGCUGGCUGAGGAGUGAGCGCUUGCCCCCUUUUCAGAGGACGGCCCUUUAUCUGGAGUUCAAGUUGGCAAAGUUGCUGAUUCGUCCACUGGAUGAAGGCUGUCCAGUGAGCCGGCAUGAGAUUCGUGGGUACAGUCGUCAGUCGGACAGCACCGCAGUCUCCAGCAUUCCCAGUCACCCAUCAACAGCAGGGCUGCCCUUGGGGC